GCUGGCUGGCCGGCUUGGCCGGCCACUGCUUGUCGCUGUUUGCCAGCUUGAUAAUCUUAUUGUGGCCCGGCCUCCCCCCCUUCAUGACCCCCCCCAGCAUGGCAAGGGUAGAGGGCCUCCGGCGACAACAUCAGCAGCGGCUGAAAGUCAAUUGAUGAUACAAUUGAUGGAGCGACAAGACGACAUCCAGAAAUAGAACACGUUAAUUACGGGGCCCCGAUAAGAGUUACUGGACGGCCAAAGCCCACAGCCGAGAGCCGAGAGUCGAGAGCCGAGAAGAGAGUCGUCAAAGUUGAGAAAGGCACUGGGAACCAUACGCUAAGGGGUUUCCAGCCUCAGCCUCUAGCUUGGAUCUGUUCCAUAAUCAACUCCAAAUAGAUGGGAAAUAUUUCUACGAAAUGCCAGACGCCGAUUCCCUUUGGCACUCCCGACGCCGAAGAUUUCGACGUCACUUGACGGAAGCUCACCAAUACCAACGCAACGAAACGAAAAAAAACCAAAUUGGUAAAAAUCAAGUGAAAAUUGUCAUAGAAAAACUAUAUUCUCCCCUUGCUCGGCUCAUAAUGGCGAGUGGCGUCCCUCGUGAUUACUUUUGCGAGUGAAAUCUUCGACCAGCAAAGGGGCAUCAACAAUCAAGACGUAGUCACGCUCGGUUGCGCCUCUGGGCAGCCUCCUGGGGAUCUGCGGUGGGCAGCUACCGGGAGAGCAUGGCCUGGGACCAAACCGGGAUCGAUGACGACGAAGCCAAGCCCCGGGAGGGAAGGGAAGCCAACGAACGAUGCUGUUUGGGGAAUACAGCCGAAAUUCUUGGCGAUCUGAGGCCAGGCGAUGGUGUGACCAGGCUGGACUGCUCUGACAGACCCGUGGAGAGGAUCUCACAUGUUCUCGCACAGCGGGUCCAGCGUGCAAAGACAGUGCCUGGGACAAACAGCUAUGUAAGCAACUAGGUGCUGGUGGCACCCUUGGCGCACGUGUCAUCCUUUGACACUGAAUGGGAGGGUAUCGAUGUUCAUGAUUGACUGUAUUGACACACUGUAUUGGCUGUUUCUGGAUCAAAGAGUCACCUUGACACGCUUGGAAAAUGGCUUGGCCGAGUAUAAAAAUGAUCCUGCCGUGAUCAGAUCCCAUGGAUAAAAUGAAUUCGGACUUAUGUGAAGGUAUGCCCAGCCAGAGCCAAAGCAUGCAUGUAGGUCAGGAUACAAUCGUGGAGCUAGCCACCGAAUAUGAGGCUGCACCGAAGCAGGUCUCCAAAGAGGAUGUGCCGUUUUCCAUGCGUUCUUUGUUCCAGAAACAGCUCGUCAAUGCUGUCAAUGAAACAUCGAUACCCUCCCGUCCACUGUCAAAGGAUGAGACGUACGCCAAGGGUGUACCGGGAGCUGCGCUAAACAUAACCUACCCACCUGUUCUUGCUCGCUGGACCCGCCCUGUGAGAACUGUGAGAUCCUAUUCAUAGGUCUGUGAGAUCAGUCCAGCCUGGUCACACUAUCGAGUGGCCUCAGUCGAUUAUCGCUAAUAAUUUCGGCUGGAUUCGCCAAACAGCAUCGUUCGUUGGCUUCCCUUCCCUCCCGGGGGGGCGCCCCCGAACGUGGCUACGUCUUGAUUGUUGAUGCCCCUUUGCCCACACCAAUGGAUGGGUGUGCGUAAUCACGAGGGACGCCAGUUGCCAUUGUGUGUAUUAUUGGUGGUAUAUACUAUAGUGUAGUAUAGUUUUUCACUUGAUUUUUACCAAUUCACCAAUAAAAAUAUUCAUAAUUGGUAGUAA